rnacentral:lncRNA from 1 species
CCCCACUCUACCUCACUCUACCCCACUCUACUUAAUUCUACCCCAUUCUACCCCACUCUACCUCACUCUACUCCACUCUACCUUAUUCUACCCUAUUCUACCCCACUCUACCUCACUCUACCCGACUCUACCUCACUCUACCUUAUUCUACCUCACUCUACCCCACUCUACCUCACUGUACCUCACUUUACCUUAUUCUACCUUACUCUUUCUUUCUACCUCACUCUACCUUAUUCUACCUCACUCUACUUUACUCUACCCCACUCUACCUCACUGUACCUCACUCUUUCUUAUUCUACCUUUCUCUGUCUUUCUACCUCACUCUACCCCACUCUAUUAUAAUCUACCUUUCUCUGUCUUUCUACCUCACUCUACCUCACUCUACCCCACUCUACCUCACUUUACCUUAUUCUACCUUACUCUUUCUUUCUACCUCACUCUACUUUACUCUACCCCACUCUACCUCACUGUACCUCACUCUUCCUUAUUCUACCUUUCUCUGUCUUUCUACCUCACGCUACCCCACUCUAUUAUAAUCUACCUUUCUCUGUCUUUCUACCUCACUCUACCUCACUCUACCCCACUCUGCCCCACUCUACAUUACUCUAACUUACUCUACCUUAUUCUACCUCACUCUACCUCACUCUGCCCACUCUACAUUACUUUAAGUCACUCUACCUCACUCUACCUCACUCUACAUUACUCUCCCUCACUCUGUUUCACUCUAACCCUCAUGGGGUUCUGGGUGUGUUAUUGGGGUGUGUGAGUGAGUGUGAGCAUGUGUAUCCAAGGUUCGUGUAAGGAAACAUUUUUGAUGCAUCUGCAUUUGCAAAAGCGUGGAUAUAGAAAGGACUUUUCUAUGUGUGUGUGUGUGUGUGUGUGUGUGUGUGUGUGCUUGCAUGUGUGUUCGUUAUUGCAACAGAGUUGACCACAGUACUUCACAAUCACUUCCUGGGUUGCCCGUGGCGACAGCUAAAUGUUAGCAUUUUAAUGAAUUGUGGAAAAGACUUUUUUAAAACAGAAUAGAAGCUUUUGAUUUUUGAUUUUGUGUUUACAGAUGUAGAUCUGUAAAAUAUCUUAAUGUAUAGUACACUAACUAUGAUAAACUAAAUAUCCC